rnacentral:rRNA from 1 species
AUUGAACGCUGGCGGCAUGCCUAACACAUGCGAGUCGAACGGGGGUAGCGAUACCCUAGUGGCGGACGGGUGAGGAAUGCGUAGGAAUCGGCCCACGAGUGGGGGACAACCUGGGGAAACUCAGGCUAAUACCGCAUGAGCUCGGGAGAGGAAAGCGGGGGAUCUUCGGACCUCGCGCUGGUGGACGAGCCUACGUCCGAUUAGCUAGUUGGUGAGGUAAUGGCUCACCAAGGCGACGAUCCGUAACUGGUCUGAGAGGAUGAUCAGUCACACUGGAACUGAGACACGGUCCAGACUCCUACGGGAGGCAGCAGUGGGGAAUAUUGGACAAUGGGCGAAAGCCUGAUCCAGCCAUGCCGCGUGUGUGAAGAAGGUCUUCGGAUUGUAAAGCACUUUAAGUUGGGAGGAAGGGGCAGUAACCUAAUACGUUAAUUGUUUUGACGUUACCGACAGAAUAAGCACCGGCUAACUUCGUG